CCUACGGGGGGCUGCAGUGAGGAAUAUUGGUCAAUGGGCUUACGCCUGAACCAGCCAAGUCGCGUGAGGGAAGACUGCCCUAUGGGUUGUAAACCUCUUUUGUCAGGGAGCAACGCCGGCUACGUGUAGCCGGACUGAGAGUACCUGAAGAAAAAGCAUCGGCUAACUCCGUGCCAGCAGCCGCGGUAAUACGGAGGAUGCGAGCGUUAUCCGGAUUUAUUGGGUUUAAAGGGUGCGUAGGCGGAAUGCCAAGUCAGCGGUAAAAUCGCGGGGCUCAACCUCGCUCCGCCGUUGAAACUGGCGGUCUUGAGUGGGCGAGAAGUAUGCGGAAUGGGUGGUGUAGCGGUGAAAUGCAUAGAUAUCACGCAGAACUCCGAUUGCGAAGGCAGCAUACCGGCGCCCAACUGACGCUGAAGCACGAAAGCGUGGGUAUCGAACAGGAUUAGAUACCCUUGUAGUC
rnacentral:rRNA from 1 species